AUUGAACGCUGGCGGCAUGCCUUACACAUGCAAGUCGAACGGUAACGGGCCUUCGGGUGCCGACGAGUGGCGAACGGGUGAGUAAUGCAUCGGAACGUACCUUUCAGUGGGGGAUAACGUAGCGAAAGUUACGCUAAUACCGCAUAUUCUGUGAGCAGGAAAGCAGGGGAUCGCAAGACCUUGCGCUGAUUGAGCGGCCGAUGUCAGAUUAGCUAGUUGGUGAGGUAAAGGCUCACCAAGGCGACGAUCUGUAGCGGGUCUGAGAGGAUGAUCCGCCACACUGGAACUGAGACACGGUCCAGACUCCUACGGGAGGCAGCAGUGGGGAAUUUUGGACAAUGGGGGCAACCCUGAUCCAGCCAUGCCGCGUGAGUGAAGAAAGGCCUUCGGGUUGUAAAGCUCUUUCGGCCGGGAAGAAAUCGCAUGGGUUAAUACCCUGUGCGGAUGACGGUACCGGCAUAAGAAGCACCGGCUAACUACGUG
rnacentral:rRNA from 1 species